AUAAGCCAGCUUCCACUUCUGGCUUAAAAGACAAAAUUAAUAUAUGCUGCUAGAAGUCAGAAGAGAAGGAUAAUGACUGUAAAAAAACAUGAGGGAGCUUCUGAGUGAGGACAAUAACAAAGGUAGCACUGUGGAAGAAGAUUUGAGGACCGGAAAAGGGAGAAAAUUUUGCCACAAUUCAAAAAGGACAUCAUGGCCUGGCACAGUGGCUCACACCUAUAAUCCCAGCUCCUCAGGAGGCUGAGACGAGAAGACCACUUAAGCCUGGGAGGUCAAGGCUGCAGUGAGCUAUGAUCAUGUCACUACACACUAGCCCAGGCAACAGAUUGAGACACAGCCUGUUGUGUUUUGUUUUGUUUUAAAAAGGACAGAAAAAAAUCUUGCAAUGGCAGAGAGAAUAAAAUAGAAGAGACAGAAGGGAACUUGCAGAAAUAAAACUGAAUGAACGUAGUAUGAUCAUUGUGCCUUCAGAAGCUUGUCCGUAGUCACAAGGUGAAGUGGAUACAUGUAGUGUUUGUAUGUCUUUCCAUUAUUUGUCUCCCAUCCCAGCGCUAUCACUUUAACCUCCCCAAAAUAGACAUUAAGCAGUGGGGCUUUCAAUUUACCAAAAGAAAGUUUCUCUUAACAUCAUAACAUCAUUUAAUUGUAAUUAGAAUAAAUGCCCCUACCAAGGAAAGUGUUUAGGAAUUAAACUAAGAGUGAUCUGGAUAGGGUGGGACUAUAUUGAUUUUUAGAUUGUAUUUUCCUCCCUGUUUCUCUUAGAUCACACCAUAUGUGUACCCCUAGUUCAGCAUGUUCUUUCAUCAAGUCAAAGACAAAAGAGAAAAAAAGAUGCAACAGUCUCUGGACUCCUCACCACCACAUCCGUUUGCUCUCCUUGGCUCUUGAUAAAUAGAAUGGUGAAGACCCCAAGGGAAAUCCCCUUGUCUGUAGUUUCUGCAUUGCACAACUGCGGGGACACAAUUCACAGAACAAUAUGAUAGGAUACAAUGUAAGAGCUUCUCCUGCACUCUCCCAGUCUUGUUCUUGAGUUUUCACCCUCCCAGGCUUACCCACUAUUUCUGCUCUUCUCCCUCAAAUUUUCAUCUUACAGUCUUUACUGUUUCACAAUGCAAACCCUAGUAAAUCAUAAAAUCACUCACAGGCCAAAUAAAAACAGUAGCUAUUUUUGAUUAAGCAUUGGACAAAGUAUGAUCUGCUUUAGAAGUCCUGCUUCUGGCUGCCUCCCAAUCUUUUGUUUGUAUGUUUCAAUCAAGACAUCUGCUGUCUAGUGUUAUUUCAGAUAAUAAUCUUAAUAUUAAGAAAUGAUUCAGAAUAUCCAGCCAUACCAAAGCAAAAAGGCAGCAUACAAUCUCUUAAGAGAAGACAUAAUUAAGUUAAGGAAAACAGAGAGUUGCCAUUUUUUAAGAGUGAAUAUGCAUGUCCAAAUUACUUCAAUUAGCAUAACCACAUCUUUCCAGAACAGUUGGCUAAUAUCAUGGCCUUCCUCAUUAGGAUUCAACUUCACAAUUGUGAAUAACAACUACAAAGAAAACAAAAACAAAGAAAACUGAAAGAUAAUCCUAUAUUUUAUUGUUAAUCAAGUGUAACCUUCUUUACUUUUUUUCUUCUUUGUCCCUCCCUUCAAUAUUUCAAGACUAGGAAGAUAAAUAACAGCAGGUUUAAUACUAUUGACAGAAGACUUUCUGCUAUGUAAACCUGAUUUUUCUACAAAUGCAUUAUGGCCAUUGGGGACGGUGAGAGCAGGAUUGAAGAUUCAUUAAUAUAUCCCCAUAAGCAAAGAGCAAAUGAAUCUCAGGCUGUUUCUCAGAAUGUUUGGAAUGACUCACUCAACAAGCUGUCUAGAUCCCUUCUGGCUGGAAAUAUCAGAACUAGAAUUGAAUAAUCUCAUAUUAAAAAUGAAGGAAAAAGUACAAAUUUACUCUGUGUUUAUAUUGUAAAUUGGCAUUAUAUUUAAUUGCAAAUGUACUGCAAAUGCUUACUUUAUUUUGAUUAUUAUAUGAUUAAGUAUCGGUUCCGUGUGGAAAUACUUUAUUUUGUUUUUGGACUGAAUUUUGUGGUUAUGAAAGUUAUAGAAGAUUUUGAUAUGAGGUGACAUUUCUAUUGGGUCUUUAUUUCCAAAUGCAAUAGUGGUACAAAAUGGCAGCCUUAGAAAUUGACUUAUGUAUUCUUUCCCCAGCUACUUGCAAUUAAACUAAACUCAG
rnacentral:lncRNA from 10 species